UUUUAAAAGUGUCGGUAAUUUAGCCAGCAGCACUUUUGUUGACCUGUACCGACAUUUAAAAGUGUCGCUAUAGACCGUUUUUGUUGUAGUGAUUGGAACUAUCUAAAAACCAAAUUUCAUAGUUUUUCAACAUCAUUUAUCAAGCAAUCAAAAGGUCUCAAAAAUGAUUAUUUUAACGGUCUAUGUGGCAGGUUUUUAAGUUCAACGGUGUAGAACAAUCCAAAUUACAUGAAUCUUUAAUAAAAAAUUAUAUUUAAUAUUAAUAGCAAGAUCAAUACUUCUGAUUUGAAACUUGAGUUUUUUAUCACUAUUUUUUAUGAAAUUUUUAUUUUCAGCCGUUCAUUUUGAGACUCACUAAGCAAAGAAAGUCAAAAAAUUAUGAAAUUUGGUUUCUAGAUAGUUCCAAAUAGCGUAUAUCAUGUCUAACAAAAUAGAUCGCCAAAUCGGAUGUCCCAUCAUCAAAAAUAACUUACAAGUAUGAAGACUUCCAUACUUUCGAAAGCAUAGAAGCCUAGCUCAAAGGAACAUAUAAUAAAGCAC
rnacentral:lncRNA from 1 species